GCGGGAGUGGCGGAAUGGCAGACGCGCAUGCUUCAGGUGCAUGUACUCGCAAGGGUGUGAGGGUUCAAGUCCCUCCUUCCGCA
rnacentral:tRNA from 1 species